GUGGGGAAUAUUCCGCAAUGGGCGAAAGCCUGACGGAGCAAUACCGCGUGAGGGAGGAAGGCUCUUGGGUUGUAAACCUCUUUUCUCAGGGAAGAAGAAAUGACGGUACCUGAGGAAUAAGCAUCGGCUAACUCCGUGCCAGCAGCCGCGGUAAUACGGAGGAUGCAAGCGUUAUCCGGAAUGAUUGGGCGUAAAGCGUCCGCAGGUGGCACUUCAAGUCUGCUGUCAAAGACUGGGGCUCAACUCCAGAAAGGCGGUGGAAACUGAAGAGCUAGAGAGCGGUAGGGGUAGAGGGAAUUCCCGGUGUAGCGGUGAAAUGCGUAGAGAUCGGGAAGAACACCAGUGGCGAAAGCGCUCUACUAGGCCGCAACUGACACUGAGGGACGAAAGCUAGGGGAGCGAAUGGGAUUAGAAACCCCUGUAGUCC
rnacentral:rRNA from 1 species